rnacentral:rRNA from 1 species
AUUGAACGCUGGCGGAAUGCUUUACACAUGCAAGUCGAGCGGCAGCGCGGGGCAACCCUGGCGGCGAGCGGCGAACGGGUGAGUAACAUAUCGGAACGUACCCAGUCGGUGGGGGAUAACUAUCCGAAAGGAUAGCUAAUACCGCAUACGUCCUGAGGGAGAAAGCGGGGGAUCGCAAGACCUCGCGCGAAUUGGAGCGGCCGAUAUCGGAUUAGCUAGUUGGUGGGGUAAAGGCUCACCAAGGCGACGAUCCGUAGCGGGUCUGAGAGGACGACCCGCCACACUGGAACUGAGACACGGUCCAGACUCCUACGGGAGGCAGCAGUGGGGGAAUUUUGGACAAUGGGGGCAACCCUGAUCCAGCCAUUCCGCGUGAGUGAAGAAGGCCU